ACAACUCACCUGCCGAAUCAACUAGCC
rnacentral:ncRNA from 5 species